rnacentral:rRNA from 1 species
GACGAACGCUGGCGGCGUGCUUAACACAUGCAAGUCGAACGAAGUGGCGAACGGGUGAGUAACGCGUAAUCAACCUGCCCUUCAGAGGGGGACAACAGUUGGAAACGACUGCUAAUACCGCAUACUGAAGGAGGAGACUGCGUCGGAUUAGCCAGUUGGGGGGGUAACGGCCCACCAAGGCGAUGAGCAGUAGCCGGUCUGAAAGGAUGAACGGCCACAUUGGGAGUGAGACACGGGCCAGGCCACUACGGGGGGCCGCAGUGGGGAAACUUCCGCAAUGGACGAAAGUCGGACGGAGCAACGCCGCGUUGGGGAUGACGGCCUUCGGGUUUUAAAGCUCUGUUAAUCGGGACGCGGUACCGGAAUAGAAAGCCACGGCUAACUACGUGCCAGCAGCCGCGGUAAUAC